UUACGGCCAUAUGACUUUGAAACACCGAUUCCCGUACUAUCACCGAAGUUAAGCAACUUCGCACCUGGUCAGUACCUAGAUGGGUGAUCGCUUAGCAAUAUAGUAUUGC